rnacentral:rRNA from 1 species
GAAACGACUGCUAAGACUGGAUAGGAGACAAGAAGGCAUCUUCUUGUUUUUAAAAGACCUAGCAAUAGGUAUGCUUAGGGAGGAGCUUGCGUCACAUUAGUUAGUUGGUGGGGUAAAGGCCUACCAAGACUAUGAUGUGUAGCCGGGCUGAGAGGUUGAACGGCCACAUUGGGACUGAGACACGGCCCAAACUCCUACGGGAGGCAGCAGUAGGGAAUUUUCGGCAAUGGAGGAAACUCUGACCGAGCAACGCCGCGUGAACGAUGAAGUAUUUCGGUACGUAAAGUUCUUUUAUUAGGGAAGAAUAAAUGAUGGAAAAAUCAUUCUGACGGUACCUAAUGAAUAAGCCCCGGCUAACUAUGUGCCAGCAGCCGCGGUAAUACAUAGGGGGCAAGCGUUAUCCGGAAUUAUUGGGCGUAAAGGGUGCGUAGGCGGUUAAAUAAGUUUAUGGUCUAAGUGCAAUGCUCAACAUUGUGAUGCUAUAAAAACUGUUUAGCUAGAGUAAGAUAGAGGCAAGUGGAAUUCCAUGUGUAGUGGUAAAAUGCGUAAAUAUAUGGAGGAACACCAGUAGCGAAGGCGGCUUGCUGGGUCUUUACUGACGCUGAGGCACGAAAGCGUGGGGAGCAAACAGGAUUAGAUACCCUGGUAGUCCACGCCGUAAACGAUGAGUACUAAACGUUGGUUAAAACCAGUGUUGAAGUUAACACAUUAAGUACUCCGCCUGAGUAGUACGUACGCAAGUAUGAAACUUAAAGGAAUUGACGGGACUCCGCACAAGCGGUGGAUCAUGUUGUUUAAUUCGAAAGGUACCCGAAAAACCUCACCAGGUCUUGACAUGCUUCUGCAAAGCUGUAGAAACACAGUGGAGGUUAUCAGUUGCACAGGUGGUGCAUGGUUGUCGUCAGCUCGUGUCGUGAGAUGUUGGGUUAAGUCCCGCAACGAGCGCAACCCUUAUUGUUAGUUACCAGCACGUAAUGGUGGGGACUUUAGCAAGACUGCCAGUGAUAAAUUGGAGGAAGGUGGGGACGACGUCAAAUCAUCAUGCCCCUUAUGACCUGGGCUACAAACGUGAUACAAUGGCUGUUACAAAGGGUAGCUGAAGCGCAAGUUUUUGGCGAAUCUCAAAAAAACAGUCUCAGUUCGGAUUGAAGUCUGCAACUCGACUUCAUGAAGUUGGAAUCGCUAGUAAUCGCGAAUCAGCAUGUCGCGGUGAAUACGUUCUCGGGGUUUGUACACACCGCCCGUCA